UACGGAGGGGGCUAGCGUUGUUCGGAAUUACUGGGCGUAAAGCGCACGUAGGCGGCUUUGUAAGUUAGAGGUGAAAGCCCAGGGCUUAACCCUGGAAUUGCCUUUAAGACUGCAUCGCUAGAAUCGUGGAGAGGUGAGUGGAAUUCCGAGUGUAGAGGUGAAAUUCGUAAAUAUUCGGAAGAACACCAGUGGCGAAGGCGACUCACUGGACACGUAUUGACGCUGAGGUGCGAAAGCGUGGGGAGCAAACAGG
rnacentral:rRNA from 1 species